CCGACGGUGAGAGGUGAAAGCUGGGGGAGCAAACCGGAUUAGAUACCCGGGUAGUCCCAGCUGUAAACGAUGCGCGUUAGGUGUGUCAGUGACCACGUGUCACUGAUGUGCCGAAGGGAAACCGUGAAACGCGCCGCCUGGGGAGUACGGUCGCAAGGCUGAAACUUAAAGGAGUUGGCGGGGGAGCACCACAACGGGUGGAGCCUGCGGUUUAAUCGGACUCAACGCCGGAAAUCUCACCGGAUAA
rnacentral:rRNA from 1 species